GACAGAGGGUGCAAGCGUUGUUCGGAAUCAUUGGGCGUAAAGGGCGCGUAGGCGGUUUUGUAAGUCGGAUGUGAAAGCCCAGGGCUUAACCUUGGAAGUGCAUCCGAAACUGCAUAACUGGAGUCUCGGAGAGGGUGGUAGAAUUCCCAGUGUAGAGGUGAAAUUCGUAGAUAUUGGGAGGAAUACCGGUGGCGAAGGCGACCACCUGGACGAAGACUGACGCUGAGGCGCGAGAGCGUGGGGAGCAAAC
rnacentral:rRNA from 1 species